rnacentral:lncRNA from 1 species
GGGGGAAUGAAACAAAACGAAAACAAAAAACCAGGGCCCCAGUAUUAGAGUUUCUAAUUCAAUAGGUACAGGAUGGGGCCUGAUAAUUUGCACUUUUAACAAGUUUCCAGGUGCUGCUGCUGCUGCAGAUCUGGGAACCACACUUUGAGAACCACUGAACAAGACAUUAUGUCAUUGGUCCCUAUUAAAAAAAAGAAAGCCAUCUUCAAAUGAUCUUCACACUGGCAGAGCCAUAAGCUGCGAUGGAACCUAACCUCUGUGCCCCUUCAAUGUGGAACAUGUGGUCAUCAAAGAAGAUGUGGGGCCGGAUCUUCACCAAGAUGGGACUUUUGGGGGCUCCAGCAAGGAAAAGAGCUUCGUCUAUCUCUAGACCCCAGCGUCGAAGGGUCUUCAGCACACGGGCGCCUGAACUGGCUGCACUCCUAGCUGUAACCAGCCAUCAUCCAUGGAAAGUCCAGAUUAGCCUCCUGGAUGGAUUUGUGAGAAGCAGAGCCUCUCCUCCAAGCCAGAGAAGCCAUUGUGUACCAGCUCGCCCUAUUAGCAUACCAUGUGCCCAGGAGUAAACAGGGAUUUCUAUUUUGGGAGGUUGGCACAAAGAGACGUCAGUGGAUGUUGGCAGAAACCAUGUUUCUCUCCAGCUGCUCCAAUGGAAAUCAACAUGUUACCGGACACAGGAGAGAAUUAAGCUGACACCAGGAGACACAGCUGACACUGGGGAGAAGUGGUGAAGACAGCAUCCUGGAAGAGGUGAGACUACUGUCUCUGAAGUUACUACAACUCUUCCAUUAAUUUUGUGAGCUUCCAUCGUUUCCUACAUGAACAUUUAUUAAAAUAUUUCCAAUGCAGACUAUGGAGAGAUAGAGAAGAGAUAAGAAAGAGAAAGAGGUGAGUCGUGAGUGCAGUUGUAAAAUAUAAAUACUUUUAAA